AAGACAUAAUCUUUAUUAGUGCUUCAGGGCUUGAAAGCUAGGGGUUUAUAAACAAAACUCUUACAAAAGACCAAGUCCUUUAUGAAGAAUAUUCCUUUAAUGUCAAUGAGGUAAUAAUAGAACAAUCAAGUCUAGGAAAGUGAUGGUUAACCUUUUAGAGACUGAGUGUCAUGCCUCAUCUCCAGAGACUGUGUGCUGUGCCCUACCCCCCCCGGGGUGCCAGAUCCUUAUAACAAUAUCUCCCUGGCAGAACAAAUACCCAGAGGUUAAAGAAGCUUUGAGUUCACCCUUAUACAUCAAAGAAAGAGAAGAAUAAUAUGAAAUAAGACUGUAAAAGCAGAGAUCCACUUAAAGGCAAAUGAAGAAAAAUGAAGGUCAGGAUUUAUAAGACCCAAGAUCCCUAGCUGAUGGCAUAAUGGAAGAGAAUUGUGAAAGAUGGAAUAUGGAUUUUAUAGCCAUCAAUCCAAGAGUUUCUCACUGUUGGAGAAAAAAAUAGUUGAUACAUUGCAAAAUACCUUUGGGAUUAAGAAUGGCAACAUUUAACACAUCUACUACUAAUAAAGAUUUAUUCAUUUUCUGCCUUCUAUAAUAGUAGUACAGAAUAUCAUUUUGUAGUAACUUGAGAAACAAAGAAGUCAGUGUUUUCCAAACACGAGUAGAAAUGUUUCAUUGUUUUAUUCCUAUCAUGUAUCCUUAAAUGAAGUUUAGUUUAUCAUUUAUUUUUUUUCUUUUAAAAUUUCUCCAGUCAUUUGUCACGUUUUGGUUAAGAGCAGGAAAGAGGAUUCAAAGAAGAAAACUAAGCAGUUUCUGCCCUCAAGGAGCAUUAAUGAAAUUAAUAGAUAUUUUCUCUAAUACUCAAAACAUCCUGAAGUUUCUCAAAUGAGAAUUAUGUGCAAAAUGGUAAAGCAACUAUAGCCAUCUUUACAUGUCAAAUC